UGGCGGAAGGGUGAGGAACACGUGAGUAACCUGCCCUUAAGUCAGGGAUAACUCGCCGAAAGGUGGGCUAAUACCAAAUGUGAUCUCCUUACGCAUGUGAGGAUGAUUAAAGACGGGGAUCUUUCGGGACCUGUCGCUUAAGGAGGGGCCCGCGUCCCAUCAGCUAGUUGGUGAGGUAACGGCUCACCAAGGCUUUUACGGGUAGCUGGUCUGAGAGGAUGGUCAGCCACACUGGGACUGAGACACUGCCCAGACUCCUACGGGAGGCUGCAGUCGAGGAUCUUUUGCAAUGCACGAAAGUGUGACAAAGCGACGCUGCGUGGAGGAUGAAGGCCUUCGGGUCGUAAACUCCUGUCAUCCGGGAACAAUGAGUCUGUCGUUAAUACCGGCAGAAAGUGAUGGUACCGGAAGAGGAAGCCACGGCUAACUCUGUGCCAGCAGCCGCGGUAAUACAGAGGUGGCGAGCGUUGUUCGGAUUUACUGGGCGUAAAGGGUGCGUAGGCGGUUCUGUGUGUCGGUUGUGAAAUCCCACUGCUCAAUGGUGGAACUGCAAUCGAAACUACGGAACUUGAGUGCAUGAGGGGAGAGCGGAAUUCUUGGUGUAGCGGUGAAAUGCGUUGAUAUCAAGAAGAACACCGGUGGCGAAGGCGGCUCUCUGGAAUGUUACUGACGCUGAGGCACGAAAGCUGGGGGAGCAAACAGGAUUAGAUACCCUGGUAGUCCCAGCUGUAAACGGUGUGCAUUUGGUGUGGGGGGGAAUUGACCCCCUCUGUGCCGGAGCUAACGCGUUAAAUGCACCGCCUGGGGAGUACGACCGCAAGGUUAAAACUCAAGAAAUUGACGGGGGCCCGCACAGCGGAGGAGCAUGUGGCUUAUUCG
rnacentral:rRNA from 1 species